AGCAGCCGCGGUAAUUCCAGCUCCAAUAGCGUAUAUUAAAGUUGUUGCAGUUAAAAAGCUCGUAGUUGAAUUUCGGGAUCAAGUCGUCGGUCGUGCUCAGGUACGUACUGGCGUCAUUGAUUUCUCCCUUCUGACGAACCAUGAUGUCAUUAAUUUGGUGUUAUGGGAAAUCAGGACUGUUACUUUGAAAAAAUUAGAGUGUUUAAAGCAGGCUCACGCUUGAAUACAUUAGCAUGGAAUAAUGAAAUAGGACGUUCGAUCCUAUUUUGUUGGUUUUAGGAUCAACGUAAUGAUUAAUAGGGAUAGUUGGGGGCGAUUAGUAUUCAAUUGUCAGAGGUGAAAUUCUUGGAUUUAUUGAAGACUAACUACUGCGAAAGCAUUUGCCAAGGAUGUUUUCAUUAAUCAAGAACGAAAGUUAGGGGAUCGAAGACGAUCAGAUACCGUCGUAGUCUUAACCAUAAACUAUGCCGACUAGGGAUCGGAUGAUGUUAAUUUUUUCAAUGACUCAUUCGGCGCCUUA
rnacentral:rRNA from 1 species